AUAAGAGGUCCCGCCUGCCCAGUGACUUUGGGUUCAACGGCCGCGGUAUUUUGACCGUGCAAAGGUAGCGUAAUCACUUGUCCUUUAAAUGAAGACCUGUAUGAAUGGCAUCACGAGGGCUUAACUGUCUCCUUUUUCCUGUCAAUGAAAUUGAUCUCCCCGUGCAGAAGCGGGGAUACGCCCAUAAGACGAGAAGACCCUGUGGAGCUUUAGGCUUCAGAACAGACUAUGUCAAUCAACCUAAAUCAAAUAUUAUAAACCUAUUAACCCCUGUUCUUCUAUGCCUUCGGUUGGGGCGACCGCGGAGUAACAAAAAACCCCCACGUGGAUCGAGAGCACAAUCCUCCCACAACCCAGGGCCACGGCCCUAAGUAACAGAACCUCUGACCAAUUACAAGAUCCGGAAAAACCGAUCAACGAACCAAGUUACCCCAGGGAUAACAGCGCAAUCCCCUUAUAGAGCCCAUAUCGACAAGGGGGUUUACGACCUCGAUGUUGGAUCAGGACAUCCUAUUGGUGCAGCCGCUAUUAAGGGUUCGU
rnacentral:rRNA from 1 species